rnacentral:rRNA from 1 species
CACGGGGGGGAGCAAGCGUUGUUCGGAAUCACUGGGCGUAAAGGGCGUGUAGGCGGUUGUGUAAGUGGGAUGUGAAAUGCCUCGGCUUACCCGGGGACCUGCAUCCCAUACUGCAUGACUUGAGUACGGGAGAGGAUGAGGGAAUUCCUGGUGUAGCGGUGAAAUGCGCAGAUAUCAGGAAGAACACCAAUGGCGAAAGCAGCUUUCUGGGACGGUACUGACGCUGAGACGCGAAGGCGUGGGGAGCGAACAGG